UGGACUGGACUACUACAGGUUGGACUAAUAUGGACUAGACUGGACUAGAGUGGACUGGAUUGAUGUGGGCUGCUUUAGGAUGGCGGGUGAUGGGAAGGGUCAUAGUUGGGUCAAAGGGACAGUGGACUGAAGCUCUAAAGCUUCAAGCAGCAAUCUCAUGACCAGUUGUUUAAAGUGUUGGUCGAAGGGGAGGAAGGAGAUGUAGUAGGAAACCAAACUAAGGGGAAGGAUGAGACAGAAACCAAUGAAGACAUUGAAGUUGUGGGGCAAGAUUGGUAACACCCUAGUCAUGGUUCUU
rnacentral:lncRNA from 1 species